AAGGUGGGAAAGGGUGCGCACAACGCCAACAACCUAACCUGAAUAAAUCUUAUUCUGCUUAAAAACUGUAACAUUUGUAAGAGCUACAGCAUUGGUACUGCCAACAGUUCUAGCAAUUUAGAACGUAGCGUAAUGCCAAGAGUUCCGGCAGUUCAGAAUCAGGAACUUCAUGUAGAAAGAAGGAUUCUGCCUAGCAGACGGAAUCCUGAAGAAGAAUCGCAGCACUUCCUGGGCGGACUCAACACUUCUGGUUCAUUCGUUACAACAGCUGUAAGAGGAGGCAGUGUUUCUCCCCUUGCAGGGAGGAAGAAAAAGAAGAAAUCAGAAAAGAAAUGGUGUCAGCGAGUCCAUCCAAGUCCCUUCGCUUCCGUCUCAAAUGCAAGGGACUUAUUGAGGCCCUGUGAGGCUCUACAAGGUGAAGAACAAAGCAGACAAGGCCCUUCCUUGCCCUUGGGGAACACAUCCCAGUGGGGCAAGACAGACACAUACAAGUAAUGAAUAGUUUCGGCUAAUCCCACACGAUAGGAAGAAAAUGAAACAGAAUGCAGGGACAGAGAGCAGCUGCUCAGUACGGUGGGGGAACAGCACAGACACAGUGGUGCUGGAACAGGGACUACCCUGUCUAAGUGAACCCACAUGACCUAAAUGGAAGAGCCUCAAUGAACCUAACCGACCCAAACGAGGAGAGGGAGAAGAGUCUGAAGACAGAAGAGGAGGACGUAUAAAAACCCGAGCUUGUGGACACGGCAAGAGCAAAUGGGCAGCAACCACAGUAAGUGGGGCUGAUGGAAUAUGGCACAAAAAUACAGAUUUUAUUCUAAAUGCAAGAGGAAGCCUACAGGACAGUUGUAGGCAAGGCAGUGGCAUGAUUAAAGACUUCUUUCUGCUCUUUAUUUAAUGACUUUGGAUCCUACACAUGUGAAAAAUGUUGGUUUGUUUUUAAUAGCUCUUCAUACUAUUUGGAGAAUGGAUGAUAGAUGGCCGAAGUCAAGAAGGAGGGAGACAAGUUAGGGAGCAAAGCUAGAAUUCCCAGCACCGCCCUGAUGUGAAGAAGAGGCUGUAGAAGAGGAAGAAGCGGACGGAUUAGAAAUCCAUGAUGCAGAAUUGACAGUGGUGUUGAUGGGGUUGCAAGUUGGGGACAAAGAAGACUGAGCAGGGCUGAGGGAGGGGAAGAGGAAGCCCAGGCCUUGAUCCAAAUCAUUCUACGGUUUCAAAGAUGCUUGGGAGUGAGGGAGACGGGCCCCAGAGGGGCUGUGAGGACAAGUGGCAGAGAGGAGUGGUCAACCAGGGCCUGUAGCUGGGGCAGGGCCUGCCACAGAAUCCCAAAGAACCAAACGGCAGCAGUGGCUGCUACCACGGCAAGAGAUGACAAGAGAGUAGCUGUUUCCAUGGACAGCGGGGGAUAAGGGCUGCCUGGGAGAGAUGCAGACAGAGUGGGAAGUAAACAGGCACAGAUGGUUUGAGAAGCUUCGCUUACAAGAGAGCAGAGAAAUGGAAUUCUAAUUACAUCUAUUUCCCUCUAUUCUAUGAAAGCACAGAAGUCUUUAUUGGUGGAAACUAAUGCAUUAUCUGGGAAAUCAAACCCCAUAUUACGCUGGCUAAUCUGUUUCUGGCACAAUAACCAGGUGCCCUUAAUUAAGUCAUUAUUUAUUAGGUCAACUUCUCCAACUCUAUCUUCAGGUUUAUAUUAAAAACGCUGCUAAAUUCAAACCUUUUGUUUUAAUUAACAAAGUUUCUAAAACUGAAAAAAUUAUGUUAUCAAGAAGACUUUUACUCCCCUAAUCACAGGAAUCUCAGAAAAAAACUUUACACGGGUUAAGUCAAAGAAAAUAGUAUUGCAAGCCCCCACGUUCCCCCAAAUAGGAUUUUCAGGUGUAAAUACAACACGGAUAUCCCCACGUUAGCAAUUCUCACAAUUAAAUUUUAUAAGCAACUACUGCUGCAGUUCUGACAGCAUUCCGACGUCAAACGGGAGCCACACUUCGACAGGACCCGUCUGAAGCCCGCUAGGACCACUGGGAGGACGGAACCACACACAUCCACCUGCAGCCAUCUCAGGGCCCCGCUUGGAGGCCGGGAGCCAGCACUGGCAAGCCAAGGUCGUGUGUGCAGAGUGAGACGGGGGAAAAGAAGCAGGGGUUCUGCUUGGGCCAGCUCCUCAGGACCCUGCUACCCAUCCUUCCCCCCUCCUCCUGAGGUCGCCUUCCUAAGUGGGCACUGCCCGGGCAAAGCCGAGUUCAAGCAUCUGCAAAAUCUGAGUUGCUAAUUAACCGUCAGGUUCUUCUGGGAAAGGAUCACUCACUCAGUGUCAUCCGUGCAGCACAGACAAUCCACUGAAGAGUUAAGGGGCAGAGACAGCCUCGAAUGCUGACCCUCUGACUAACAGUCCUAUUCUCUUUGGAACCCACUGCACUAGAAUGUGGACACUUGCCUGCAGGAGGCAACCUUGUUGGCCGUGUUGACUCUACUCUAAUGUGAGCCUCCCUUAGAUCCCCUCCUCCUUGCCUGAUUAGGGACAGGGG